rnacentral:rRNA from 1 species
AGAGUUUGAUCAUGGCUCAGAACGAACGCUUGCGGCGUGCUUAACACAUGCAAGUCGAACGAGAAAGGGACUUCGGUCCUGAGUAAAGUGGCGCACGGGUGAGUAACGCGUAGGUAAUCUACCUCUGUGUUCGGGACAACAUCGGGAAACUGGUGCUAAUACCGGAUACGUUUCACAUUUAGCGAUAAGAGUGAAGGAAAGAUGGGGACCUUUCGGGGCCUAUUGCACGGAGAUGAGCCUGCGUACCAUUAGCUAGUUGGCAGGGUAAGGGCCUACCAAGGCGACGAUCCGUAGCUGGUCUGAGAGGAUGAUCAGCCACACUGGGACUGAGACACGGCCCAGACUCCUACGGGAGGCAGCAGUGGGGAAUAUUGCACAAUGGGCGCAAGCCUGAUGCAGCAAUGCCGCGUGUGUGAAGAAGGCCUGCGGGUUGUAAAGCACUUUUAUUAGGAAAGAAAAACCCGGAGCUAAUACCUCCGGCAUUGACGGUACCUAAAGAAUAAGCACCGGCUAACUCAGUGCCAGCAGCCGCGGUAAUACUGAGGGUGCGAGCGUUAAUCGGAAUUACUGGGCGUAAAGCGAGUGUAGGCGGUUGCCUAAGUCGGAUGUGAAAGCCCCGGGCUUAACCUGGGAAUUGCAUUCGAUACUGGGUGACUAGAGUUUGGUAGAGGUAAGUGGAAUUCCGGGUGCAGCGGUGAAAUGCGUAGAUAUCCGGAGGAACAUCAGUGGCGAAGGC